AUUGAACGCUGGCGGCAAGCCUAACACAUGCAAGUCGAACGAGUGGCGGACGGGUGAGUAAUGUCUGGGAAACUGUCUGAUGGAGGGGGAUAACUACUGGAAACGGUAGCUAAUACCGCAUACCAUCGGAUGUGCCCAGAUGGCAUUAGCGAGUAGGUGCGGUAAAGGCUCAUCUAGGCGACGAUCCCUAGCUGGUCUGAGAGGAUGACCAGCAACACUGGAACUGAGACACGGUCCAGACUCCUAGGGGAGGCAGCAGUGGGGAAUAUUGGACAAGGGGCGCAAGACUGAUGCAGCCAUGCCGCGUGUAUGAAGAAGGUCUUCGGGUUGUAAAGUACUUUCAGCAGGGAGGCGUUACCCGAAGAAGAAGCACCGGCUAACUCCGUGCCAGCAGCCGCGGUAAUAC
rnacentral:rRNA from 1 species